AUUGAACGCUGGCGGAAGGCCUAACACAUGCAAGUCGAACGAGUGGCGGACGGGUGAGUAAUGUCUGGGAAACUGCCUGAUGGAGGGGGAUAACUACUGGAAACGGUAGCUAAUACCGCAUACCAUCAGAUGUGCCCAGAUGGGAUGAUCUAGUUGGUGUGGUACCGCCUAACCAAGGCGACGAUCCCUAGCUGGCCUGAGAGGAUGACCAGCCACACUGGAACUGAUACACGGUCCAGACUCCUACGGGAGGCAGCAGUGGGGAAUAUUGCACAAUGGUCGCAAUCCUGAUGCCGCCAUGCCGCGUGUAUGAAGAAGGCCGUCGGGUUGUAAAGUACUUUCAGCGGGGAGGCGUUACCCGCAGAAGAAGCACCUGCUAACCCCGUGCCAGCAGCCGCGGUAAUUC
rnacentral:rRNA from 1 species